AAAUUGAAGAGUUUGAUCAUGGCUCAGAUUGAACGCUGGCGGCAGGCCUAACACAUGCAAGUCGAGCGGUAGCACAGAGAGCUUGCUCUCGGGUGACGAGCGGCGGACGGGUGAGUAAUGUCUGGGAAACUGCCUGAUGGAGGGGGAUAACUACUGGAAACGGUAGCUAAUACCGCAUAACGUCGCAAGACCAAAGUGGGGGACCUUCGGGCCUCAUGCCAUCAGAUGUGCCCAGAUGGGAUUAGCUAGUAGGUGGGGUAACGGCUCACCUAGGCGACGAUCCCUAGCUGGUCUGAGAGGAUGACCAGCCACACUGGAACUGAGACACGGUCCAGACUCCUACGGGAGGCAGCAGUGGGGAAUAUUGCACAAUGGGCGCAAGCCUGAUGCAGCCAUGCCGCGUGUGUGAAGAAGGCCUUCGGGUUGUAAAGCACUUUCAGCGGGGAGGAAGGCGUUAAGGUUAAUAACCUUGGCGAUUGACGUUACCCGCAGAAGAAGCACCGGCUAACUCCGUGCCAGCAGCCGCGGUAAUACGGAGGGUGCAAGCGUUAAUCGGAAUUACUGGGCGUAAAGCGCACGCAGGCGGUCUGUCAAGUCGGAUGUGAAAUCCCCGGGCUCAACCUGGGAACUGCAUUCGAAACUGGCAGGCUAGAGUCUUGUAGAGGGGGGUAGAAUUCCAGGUGUAGCGGUGAAAUGCGUAGAGAUCUGGAGGAAUACCGGUGGCGAAGGCGGCCCCCUGGACAAAGACUGACGCUCAGGUGCGAAAGCGUGGGGAGCAAACAGGAUUAGAUACCCUGGUAGUCCACGCCGUAAACGAUGUCGAUUUGGAGGUUGUGCCCUUGAGGCGUGGCUUCCGGAGCUAACGCGUUAAAUCGACCGCCUGGGGAGUACGGCCGCAAGGUUAAAACUCAAAUGAAUUGACGGGGCCCGCACAAGCGGUGGAGCAUGUGGUUUAAUUCGAUGCAACGCGAAGAACCUUACCUGGUCUUGACAUCCACAGAACUUAGCAGAGAUGCUUUGGUGCCUUCGGGAACUGUGAGACAGGUGCUGCAUGGCUGUCGUCAGCUCGUGUUGUGAAAUGUUGGGUUAAGUCCCGCAACGAGCGCAACCCUUAUCCUUUGUUGCCAGCGGUCCGGCCGGGAACUCAAAGGAGACUGCCAGUGAUAAACUGGAGGAAGGUGGGGAUGACGUCAAGUCAUCAUGGCCCUUACGACCAGGGCUACACACGUGCUACAAUGGCAUAUACAAAGAGAAGCGACCUCGCGAGAGCAAGCGGACCUCAUAAAGUAUGUCGUAGUCCGGAUUGGAGUCUGCAACUCGACUCCAUGAAGUCGGAAUCGCUAGUAAUCGUAGAUCAGAAUGCUACGGUGAAUACGUUCCCGGGCCUUGUACACACCGCCCGUCACACCAUGGGAGUGGGUUGCAAAAGAAGUAGGUAGCUUAACCUUCGGGAGGGCGCUUACCACUUUGUGAUUCAUGACUGGGGUGAAGUCGUAACAAGGUAACCGUAGGGGAACCUGCGGUUGGAUCACCUCCUUACCUUAAAGAA
rnacentral:rRNA from 1 species